AUGUCAAAGCUCAUGCUUGUCUUGGACGAACUAGUAUUCAUGAGGACAAACAAAUUUUGUUCAGCAGCACUCAGGCUCUGUCCAGAUAACAUCAGAAUGUUUGUCCUGGAUGAAGCAGAUGAAAUAAUCACAGGAGGUUUGAAGAACCAGGUUGGUUUUGCAUCAUCAUACCAGCUCAGUUGUACAGUGAUCACAAUGAUCUAUAAUAUUAUUCAGCUUGUCCCAGCCAAAAUCCAGUUUGCUGUAUUCUCUACCGUCAUGUCCCAUGAAGCUCUCGAACUUUGCCGGAAAUGCAUGAAUAAGCCUAUGAAGGUCAUCGUGCCGAAAGAUGAAGAACUUGAGGGUUUUAGUAUUAAGCAGUUCUAUGUAAAAGCUGAGGAGGAAGAAUCGAAGUUUGAAAAUUAUGCGAUCUUUUUGACACCAUGGCAGUCAUGCAAAACAUCAUCUUUGUCAACGUACGUCGGAAGGUCAAGUCACUGA
rnacentral:rRNA from 1 species